rnacentral:misc_RNA from 1 species
GCUCUUUGCUUUGCGCAACAACUUUCACCUGGCAUACCUCUUCAGUUCAUGGUUAUGGCGUGUCUUGCCUAAUCUGAUUGUGGGUUUCCUGUGUUGCAUUCCUAAAUUAUGGUAUUUUCUUGAUCGAAGGUAAUUGUGUUUCGUCAUGUGUCAUGCUUAUGACAUAUGAUGGACCUUGAUGCUUACUCUUUGAACCACAUGAUCAAUGAAUUGAUGUUGUGGUCCAUUGAGCAUUGCUUGGAUUCUUGGAUAUGGAAAUGGAUUUAGGCAUGGAUUCUUUUGAGAUCCUCAUUAUGCCUUUGUUUAGCGUUAUCUAAAAAUGACUAAUCGCCCGCAUUAGCUUGUACGUGCGUGGGUUUAUGUCAUAUAGGAAUGCUACCUGGUUGAUCCUGCCAGUAGUCAUAUGCUUGUCUCAAAGAUUAAGCCAUGCAUGUGUAAGUAUGAA